CUGAUAAUGUAACAUUAAAUUUUCAAAAUAAUCUUAUUAUUAGUUUGACGUUUUAAAAUAUUUAUUUAAUUUUUUUAAUGAUAAAAAUUAUUAUAUAAAAAAAUUUAUUGUUUAAUUAAAUAAUCGAAUUAUUUAAAAUUUUAUUAUUAUUUAAUACUUAUUAUUAUUAUUUUUAUUACCUUUACUUUUUUUCCCUUCUUUCUCCUUCCCCUGCACGCCACACCCCGCCCCC
rnacentral:lncRNA from 1 species